rnacentral:rRNA from 1 species
UACGUAGGGGGCAAGCGUUAUCCGGAUUUACUGGGUGUAAAGGGAGCGUAGACGGCCAGACAAGUCUGAAGUGAAAAUCCAGCGCUUAACGUUGGAAGUGCUUUGGAAACUGCCGGGCUAGAGUGCAGGAGGGGCAGGCGGAAUUCCUAGUGUAGCGGUGAAAUGCGUAGAUAUUAGGAGGAACACCAGUGGCGAAGGCGGCCUGCUGGACUGCAACUGACGUUGAGGCUCGAAGGCAUGGGGAGCAAACAGG